GCCGUUAUCGCAUAGUGGUCAGUACAUUGCGUUGUGGCCGCAAUAACCCAUGCAGGUUCGAAUCCUGAUCACGGCA